GAAUGUUAUCAGAUUGGGUGUAAUUCGUUAUGUGACAUUUGUAACAUACUUGGCAAAAUACUUUAUUAGUAUUAGUAUUAGUAUUUUAAGAUAUAAGUUUAUCCCUCUAUCAAGACAAGUAUCAACUCACAACUGGAGUUCAUACAUGAAUAUAUGGGUAGAUGACCAUUGUGUAGAAACUUAUGUCUUUUGUUUUUGGUUGAUUGUACUUAAAUUCAAAAUUUUGUAAAUAUAUACAGUAUUAGAAAUAACCCAGACUCAUUCAGGUUGUCUAGAGAGCGGCAAUUGUUUUCUUAGGCUCCAUCACGUGAUACAUCCUGUACAUCCAACAGGUUAGUUGUCCACAGUGUCAAAUAUCUUCCCCAUCCCCAGAUCUGUGUGACAAAACAAGCAGGCCUAAGUAUCUAUUUAACCACCCCAUAAGGGGAAAUGAUAUAAUUACACCAGUGCUUAUGACUUUCUUAUUAAGGUAGCUAGAGACAUGGAUGUUUCAUCUUUUUAGUUGCACUGGAUUGUUUGUUCCCCAAAAUAGAAAUGAUAUAAUUACACCAGUGCUUAUGACUUUCUUAUUAAGGUAGCUAGAGGCAUUUCCAUUUAAAUUUUCUAGUUGCACUGGAUUGUUGUAUUUCCCCAAAUUGAAGUAAUGUAAUUAAACCAGAUAUUCAAACUUCCUUAUUAAGGUAGCUAGAGGCAUGAAUGUAUCAGUUUUCUAGUUUCACUGUAGUGUUGUUUUCCCCAAGGAAAAUGAUGUAAUUAAACAAGACCUUAUACCUUUAUUAUCAAAGUAGCUAGAGGCAUGUAUGUUUCAAUUUUUUAGUUGCACUGUAUUCUUGUUUUCCUAAAAGGGAAAUGACGUGAUUAAACCAGGUCUUAUAACUUCCUUUUUAAGGUAGCUAGAGGCAUGUAUGUGUCAGUUUUCUAGUUUCACUGUAUUCUUGAUUUCCUAAUAGGGAAAUGACGUGAUUUAACCAGAUGCUAUAACUUCCUUAUUAAGGUAGUUAGAGGCAUGUGUGAUUCAAUUUUUUAGUUGCACUGUAUGGUUGUAUUUCCCCAAAGGGAAGUGAUGUAAUUAUACCAGAUGUUAGAACUUGCUUAUUAAGGUAGCUAGAGGUAUGUGUGAUUCAAGUUUUUAGUUGCACUGGAUUGUUGUAUUUCCCCAAAGUGAAGUGAUGUAAUUAUACCAGACCUUACACCUUUCUCAUUAAAGUAGCUGGAGGCAUGUGUGAUUAAAUGUUUUAGUUGCACUGGGUUCUUGAUUUCCUAAAAGGGAAAUGACGUGAUUUAACCAGAUCUUAUAACUUCCUUAUUAAGGUAGCUAGAGGAAUGAAUGUAUCAGUUUUCUAGUUUCACUGUAGUGUUGUUUUCCCCAAGGGAAAUGUUGUAAUUCAACAAGAUCUUAUAACUUUAUUAUCAAAGUAGCUAGAGGCAUGUAUGUUUCAAUUUUCUAGUUGCACUGUAUUCUUCUUUUCCUAAAAGUGAAAUGACGUGAUUAAACCAGGUCUUAUAACUUGCUUAUUAAGGUAGCUAGGGGCAUGUAUGUUUCAAUUUUCUAGUUGCACUGUAUUCUUGAUUUCAUAAAAGGGAAAUGACGUGAUUUAACCAGAUCUUAUAACUUCCUUAUUAAGGUAGUUAGAGGCAUGUAUGUGUCAAUUUCCUAGUUUCACUGUAUUCUUGAUUUCCUACAAGGGAAAUGACGUGAUUAAACCAGAUCUUAUAACUUCCUUAUUAAGGUAGCUAGAGGCAUGUUUGUGUCAGUUUUCUAGUUUCACUGUAUUCUUGAUUUCCUAAAAGGAAAAUGACGUGAUUAAACCAGAUCUUAUAACUUCCUUAUUAAGGUAGCUAGAGGCAUGUAUGUUUCAAUUUUUUAGUUGCACUGUAUGGUUGUAUUUCCCCAAAUUGAAGUAAUCUAAUUAAACCAGAUCUUCAAACGUCCUUAUUAAGGUAGCUAGAGGCAUGAAUGUAUCAGUUUUCUAGUGUCACUGUAGUGUUGUUUUCCCCAAGGGAAAUGACUUGAUUAAACCAGAUCUUAUAACUUUCUUAUUAAGGUAGCUAGAGGCAUGUAUGCUUCAAUUUUUUAGUUGCACUGUAUGGUUGUAUUUCCCCAAAGGGAAGUGAUGUAAUUAUACCAGAUGUUAUAACUUUCUUAUUAAAGUAGCUAGAGACAUGUAUGUUUCAAUUCUUUAGUUGCACUGGAUUGUUUUAUUUCCCCAAAGGGAAGUGAUGUAAUUAUACCAGAUGUUAUAACUUUCUUAUUAAAGUAGCUAGAGACAUGUAUGUUUCAAUUUUCUAGUUGCACUGUAUUCUUGAUUUCCCCAAAGGGAAAUGACGUGAUUUAACCAGAUCUUAUAACUUCCUUAUUAAGGUAGCUAGAGGCAUGUAUGUGUCAGUUUUCUAGUUUCACUGUAUUCUUGAUUUCCCCAAAGGGAAAUGACGUGAUUAAACCAGAUCUUAUAACUUCCUUAUUAUGGUAGCUAGAGGCAUGUAUGUUUCAAUUUUUUAGUUGCAUUGGAUGGUUGUAUUUCCCCAAAGUGAAGUGAUGUAAUUAUACCAGAUCUUACAACUUCCUUAUUAAGGUAGCUAGAGGCAUGUAUGAUUCAAUUUUCUAGUUGCACUGGAUUCUUGUAUUCCCCAAAGGGAAAUGAUGUAAUCAAACGACUACUUAUGACUUUCUUAUUAAGGUAGCUGAAGACAUUGAGUUGUCAUUUUCCUAGUUGCACUUUAUUGUUCUUGUCUUAACCAACUAGAAAUGAUGUAAUUAAAACGGACGUCCUUACACCUUUGUUAUUAAGGACGCUGUUGCCAAGUUAUACUGCUGUAAGUAUGUAUUUUGUGCUAAAUCCAGAAGAGAUGUCAUUAAACCAGACAAAUGUUCUUAGGACAGCUGGAGGCUCAGGAGUAAGUUUAGACAUGAAUUAGACAUACUAGAGAAAACAUUUCUACAGCUUUGUAUCAAUGGGGACCUUCUGUUACCCCAUUGGCACUUAUCCACUGUAUUAUAUCUCCAUUCUAUAAUGAUAAAUACCCUGCAGGCAUUUGCUGAUAAAAGGUCGUCCUGAGGCCAAUUUGAAUGGCACAAAUUUGAAAUUAGACAUCCGACCAAAUACCUCUCACGUGACAUUUAGUAAGAGAUGCAGGAAGACGCAGGUAUAUACAGAAUAGAGAUAUAAUUACUGGAUAAUCGAGUUUGCUGUCACCCCAUUUCUGGACAUUCAGGAAAUGGUGGGAAAUGGACUGCUUCUGUUGUUACAUGUAAAGCAGAACCCUUCCUACUUACUUUCAGUCUAUGAUAACUAGCCCUCCCAUAAUCAGCUGUCUCUGUAGCCUCUACGUAAUGUUCACUGACUUCAGCAUCACAAAUAUCACAACUAAGAGUUUGUUAUUGUGUAGUCUUUUAUUGUUUCUCUUGAUAAAUAAAAUAUUUCAUAAAAAUACAAACACGUGUUGACAUUGUAUAUUAAUCAAUUCAAAACAUCAUUUAUAUAUUACAAACAUCAGUAUGAAUAUGAACAACUGAUCAUUUCUACAAGACAGUUGGACAGGUAAGAAUUAAUUGAAAAGAAAUGUUGCCAUCCACGGGACAACAGGCAGACAGCUACGUCAGACACAGUGUUGGAAGGUUAAUUGAGAAGUCGUGGGUUACAGAAACUACCUAUAUGGCUGUACAUGUGGAUGGCAUAGAGAAAUGUUUCAAGCAGAAUGCCGGAAGACUGAUUAUGUGAUUGGAAACCUAUGGUCUGAUAAAAAAAACUCAUUGGAAAACAGCGAGUGACAAUGUUCAUAUUA